AGACGGGCGCGGGCGUUCGGCCACUGCCGCUCGAAGACUCACUGGGGCCGCUGUCCUCCAUGGUGUCCGCGUCCGUGUCUGCGUGAGGGAAAGAGAGAGCCCCGGCUCCCCCCUCCUUCUCUAACCGCCACCGCCGCCGCCGCUGUGGGAAACCGACAAAAAAGAGGAAACCGCCGCCGCCGCCAGCCGCCCACCGCCGUGAGCGAAGGGAUGGAAAGGCGGGACGGCCGGAUGAGUGACAACGCAGCCCCUCCAAUCGCCGCCCACGGCGCCCUGACUGACGUGGGCCUGCACCAAUAGGCGGCCGGAUCCCGCCCACUAACAACGAUGGACAUACCGGACAUCCAAUCAGACCUGGGCACCCGUGAAGGACACCGCACCUCAACGCGCCCACCCAUGUCCGCUCCCAGCCAAUGGACACGGUGCCAGCCUGAAUGAUGGCGAUCGGGGCCAAUCGGAAAUACGGGGAGUCAGUGAUGAAGGGCAGGGCAGACCAAUAGGUGACGGAGGGCACCACUGUUUACGAUACGAAAGCCAGUUUAGCUCAAAGCAAUUCCUACCGCCAUCCUGCAUCAUCCCCGCCAUUCGGAUUUCAUCUGGGAGGGGUGCCCCACCAUUGAUUAUUCUUGUUGGAAAGUACAUUUUAUCGGCGAUAUCGAGCUUCUUAACACCUAUCGGGGUGAGUUGUCCCAUUUUCAGAUCCGUUUUCAAGCUCC